CACUGCACUAAUAAAUGUGGAAGAAUGCCAGCUCUGUGGAAAUAUUGACAGGUCUGGUGUAAAAUUCAGUUUUUCCAAUACCACUCCAACUAAACAGAAUGAAUGGAACAUUAGACUCUCAGGGCCUGUGGCUGCAGGUACAUCACUCACUGAACACCUUCCCAGCUAUGCAGCUAAGGGGCGAAGGCCGAUGUUCUGCUUAAAAUCACAAGCCUACCAGCACUUCUUCUGCAGCAGGUUCUCUCUGCAUUAUUUUUUGCUGAGAUGAAUUUACCCACCAUGCCAUGCUGACCACCCUUUGAUGAGAGCUGUCCUGCCAUCACCUAGCAGUCUGAGCACAACAAACCAUGCAACAGCGAUACAGAUCCCUAUGACAAAGUUGUUCUCACUCGAGGAUGGUGUUUCAUAUGGUGCAUUUGUUUCCUGGUGAAUCUGCGUGCUCUGCUCCCUCUGCAAUAUUCAUUAACACAGGUCACUUGUACAGUAAAUAUUUAUUUAACUUUAAGAUUUAUAUAGUGUCUUUUCCUACAGCAUCUAGGUGGUAUUUGCAGAAAUUAAAAACAUAAGUUAUAUGAAGCUUUCAAUAAUGUUUUGCAUUAAACUGCUACUGUUGUCAGAAAUAAAUCAGCCAUAUUGUCAUGAAAUGAAAUAAACGUAACAAAACCCAAACAAGCAGAAGUACAAAAUCAAUCAGCCAAAAGCUAACCAAAUAAAUGUGGCUUGCAUGAAUACAAGCAAGAGAGAUUGGCUAUCAGCUGCAUCUCUGAAAUACCUAGACAUGAAUGAAAGCAGGCAUCAUUAAUCUGCGUUGAUUGCUCUUGCUUGCCAUGCAGUGCUUCCUAUCUGACCUGAACACUAGCAGGAAGCCAUGUUGCUAACAGUAUUUGUAGGCAAAUGUGCAUUUGCAGCCGAACCAGCGUAAGAGGUGAGCAAUCAUGAUGACUUCAAGGUUUAGGCAUGUGAAAGAUGAAUAUUUUUCUCCAGCAGCUAAAGGCACCUCAAGGGGCUCCAGCCCUUGCCUCAACCUCCUUGUUUAUUUUCUCCUUUAUCUCUCCGUUCAUUACUCCAUCAGCUGCUAAAGAGCAAUUAAUAGUGCUGCUUUGCCAU
rnacentral:lncRNA from 1 species